rnacentral:rRNA from 1 species
UAGGGAAUCUUCCGCAAUGGGCGAAAGCCUGACGGAGCAACGCCGCGUGAGUGAAGAAGGAUUUCGGUUCGUAAAGCUCUGUUGUUAGGGAAGAAUGGAUAUGUAGUAACUAUACAUAUAAGAGACGGUACCUAACCAGAAAGCCACGGCUAACUACGUGCCAGCAGCCGCGGUAAUACGUAGGUGGCAAGCGUUGUCCGGAAUUAUUGGGCGUAAAGCGCGCGCAGGUGGUUUAAUAAGUCUGAUGUGAAAGCCCACGGCUCAACCGUGGAGGGUCAUUGGAAACUGUUAAACUUGAGUGCAGGAGAGAAAAGUGGAAUUCCUAGUGUAGCGGUGAAAUGCGUAGAGAUUAGGAGGAACACCAGUGGCGAAGGCGGCUUUUUGGCCUGUAACUGACACUGAGGCGCGAAAGCGUGGGGAGCAAACAGGAUUAGAUACCCUGGUAGUCCACGCCGUAAACGAUGAGUGCUAAGUGUUGGUCUCAUAAGAGAUCAGUGCUGCAGCUAACGCGUUAAGCACUCCGCCUGGGGAGUACGACCGCAAGGUUG